AUUUCUAUGAAAAUAAGGGAUAUUUAAGGUGAAAAACAGGGAUUUCUAUGAAAAUAAGGGAUAUUUAAGGUGAAAAACAGGGAUUUCUAUGAAAAUAAGGGAUAUUUAAGGGGAAAAACAGGGAUUUCUGGGAAAAUAAGGGAUAUUUAAGGAGAAAAACAGGGAUUUCAAUGAAAAUAAGGGAUAUUUAAGGUGAAAAACAGGGAUUUCUAUGAAAAUAAGGGAUAUUUAAGGUGAAAAACAGGGAUUUCAAUGAAAAUAAGGGAUAUUUAAGGUGAAAAACAGGGAUUUCUAUGAAAAUAAGGGAUAUUUAAGGGGAAAAACAGGGAUUUCUAUGAAAAUAAGGGAUAUUUAAGGAGAAAAACAGGGAUUUCUAUGAAAAUAAGGGAUAUUUAAGGAGAAAAACAGGGAUUUCAAUGAAAAUAAGGGAUAUUUAAGGUGAAAAACAGGGAUUUCUAUGAAAAUAAGGGAUAUUUAAGGUGAAAAACAGGGAUUUCAAUGAAAAUAAGGGAUAUUUAAGGGGAAAAACAGGGAUUUCUAUGAAAAUAAGGGAUAUUUAAGGAGAAAAACAGGGAUUUCUAUGAAAAUAAGGGAUAUUUAAGGGGAAAAACAGGGAUUUCUAUGAAAAUAAGGGAUAUUUAAGGAGAAAAACAGGGAUUUCAAUGAAAAUAAGGGAUAUUUAAGGGGAAAAACAGGGAUUUCUAUGAAAAUAAGGGAUAUUUAAGGGGAAAAACAGGGAUUUCUAUGAAAAUAAGGGAUAUUUAAGGGGAAAAACAGGGAUUUCUAUGAAAAUAAGGGAUAUUUAAGGUUAAAAACAGGGAUUUCUAUGAAAAUAAGCGAUAUUUAAGGUUAAAAACAGGGAUUUCUGGGAAAAUAAGGGAUAUUUAAGGGGAAAAACAGGGAUUUCUAUGAAAAUAAGGGAUAUUUAAGGUGAAAAACAGGGAUUUCUAUGAAAAUAAGGGAUAUUUAAGGGGAAAAACAGGGAUUUCUAUGAAAAUAAGGGAUAUUUAAGGUUAAAAACAGGGAUUUCUAUGAAAAUAAGGGAUAUUUAAGGUGAAAAACAGGGAUUUCUAUGAAAAUAAGGCAUAUUUAAGGGGAAAAACAGGGAUUUCUAUGAAAAUAAGGGAUAUUUAAGGGGAAAAACAGGGAUUUCUAUGAAAAUAAGGGAUAUUUAAGGUUAAAAACAGGGAUUUCUAUGAAAAUAAGGGAUAUUUAAGGUUAAAAACAGGGAUUUCUAUGAAAAUAAGCGAUAUUUAAGGUUAAAAACAGGGAUUUCUGGGAAAAUAAGGGAUAUUUAAGGUUAAAAACAGGCAUUUCUAUGAAAAUAAGGGAUAUUUAAGGUGAAAAACAGGGAUUUCUAUGAAAAUAAGGGAUAUUUAAGGGGAAAAACAGGGAUUUCUGGGAAAAUAAGGGAUAUUUAAGGGGAAAAACAGGGAUUUCUAUGAAAAUAAGGGAUAUUUAAGGGGAAAAACAGGGAUUUCUAUGAAAAUAAGGGAUAUUUAAGGUGAAAAACAGGGAUUUCUCUGAAAAUAAGGGAUAUUUAAGGUUAAAAACAGGGAUUUCUGGGAAAAUAAGGGAUAUUUAAGGUUAAAAACAAGGAUUUCUAUGAAAAUAAGGGAUAUUUAAGGGGAAAAACAGGGAUUUCUGGGAAAAUAAGGGAUAUUUAAGGUUAAAAACAGGGAUUUCUAUGAAAAUAAGGGAUAUUUAAGGGGAAAAACAGGGAUUUCUAUGAAAAUAAGGGAUAUUUAAGGGGAAAAACAGGGAUUUCUGGGAAAAUAAGGGAUA